rnacentral:rRNA from 1 species
GAGGAUUGACAGACUGUUAACUGCAACACAUGCUGCUAAGUUUUAAACUUAAUAGCUCUUUCAUGAUUAUAUGAUAGGUGGUGCAUGGCCGUUCUUAGUUCGUGGAGUGAUCUGUCUGCUUAAUUGCGUUUCAAAAUUUAAACCUGAGCGACAAGGUGCUACUAUCGAAACUGUCUUUGAGUGUGAACUAUAAGUCUUUUGACUUAUGACCAUCACUCUAGACGUUUAUGUUUUGGUGUUGGCCCUUGAUGCUCAUUUGAACGCAACGGACGUGAUUGCAACCCCUUGUUGAGAUUUAUCCGAUCUCUACGUUCACUGAACCACACUCUUUAGCGAGAGCAGUGGGGAUGUGGAUAAACUCGGGGGACUGCUGACUAUAAACUUUUCUCAAACCAGAGGAAGGUUGCGGCAAUAACAGGUCUGUGAUGCCCUCAGAUGU